ensembl:lncRNA
GCGAGAGAAUUCUAAGAGCACCUUCUGCAAGGACCUGUCCUUGUCAGCGGCAGCAGAGAGGCAGGAGUGCUGUGGAGCUGGCUUCUGCUUCUCUCCUGUCUCCAGAGGAGGCUCUCCCUCUGGGGCUGGCUCCGGCUGCAGAGCAGGCCCAUGGUGUUCUGGUCGUGGAGCCGGAGCUAGGAGGAGGAAAGCUCAGCAGUGUCAGUCCCUCGCCAGUUCCCUGCGGAGCCUAGAAAAGACAUCCUGGCCAUUUGGGGGAUUCCAAUGCCCAACCAAAAGCCAUGAAAGCCUUCCGGACUGCUGUGGCCCUCACCAUCUGUGUCGGCCUCGUGGGGCUCUAGAUAUUCCACCUGAGCAAGGGGACGGCACAAGGGAGGCUCCAUGUCUGCUCCAGUUGUAGGAACAUCGCAGCUUAUUUUGGGAGAACACCUCCACCUUCAACCCAAGACCUCCAUUGUGCACAUUUGGGAGGGGAUUUUGUUUGGAUUAAACCCAAUGAGGAUAGUCAUUUCCAUGGUUAUACAGGUUGGUUUUGAAUAAAUCCUUUACACAAACCCAAUCAGAACAAACGUGAAGAAUGUCAUUUGAAAUGAUGGAAAUGAGAGCCUUCUCAUCUUGGGAAAUCAUCUGUGAGCUGCUACGGCCCGAGGGAAGCCUGGAAUAGAUAAGAGAAGGUAUGCCUAAGAACCCAGAAGCCGAGCCAGGUCUGAGGAAGGAGAACAACACAGUGAAUGCUGGAAGUUUUUUAAUCCUUCCCGAAGUCAGAUGUCAGAAUUGAACAAACAAACCAGCUUUUCGUUACUUAAGGCUUUCAAAUUUAUUUCUUACUUUUAGCCUGAAAUAUGGUUAAAUGAUAUGGGUCCCAAAUUCGGCCAUAACAGAUGAAUGAAUGAAUUACGGGUGACAUGAUUUAAAAAAUCACUUUAAAAUUUAUUCCAGUUGAAAAGGAUGCAUAUGCUGCUGUUGGGAUGGGAGAGCCCAAUGCCUGUUGUGCCUACGAGGAAGAAAAGGAGCAAGCUAAAGUGGGCUGACUAAGGCUGAAGAACCUCUGCUAGGACCCUUGCCAUGGCUGAAGAGAAAGGCUGAGGCAACGGAUGGACACGGGUAUGAAUGGCCAAAGACUUUUGCCAUGGAGACGACCGGGUCCUGAGCAGACAGCAAGCAAUAUUGUCAGUGUCUUGAGAUCAGCAAAGCAGCAGAGGUCUUGGGGCAGAAGGACUGCAGCUUGCAGACUAAGACAGCCCUACGCACCAGUGAGGUCACAAUGGGCCGCCCUUGCUAGCUGGGGAAGAAAUCCCACGAGGACAGGACGUGACUGGGCGCUGUGUGGUGGCUGAGCAGCAGGGGAGUCAGGCCCUCCCAGAGACCGAUCGAGCCUUCCUAGAGCUCGUGGAAGGCUCAGGACCCCACGGGUCUUGCCAGGUCAGGAGCUCUAGUGUGGCUCAGGUGGGCCCACACCCUCAGGCCGAGGUGGGCACAGGUGCGGCCGGGAAGCUGCCGGGGCCUUGUGGAGAGCGUCGGACACAGGCAGAGCCACUCCUGCACCCACACAACGUACUGUUUUUGACCACACACCUGGGGCAGGGGCCUAGACCCGUCCAGGACUCACCGGGGGCUGCCCCACCGCGUCUCCAGAACCUCCCCAAGAGCCAAGGUUGGACCUGCCCCCGAGAGGUGUCACUCACGUGCCGUGCAGGUGUCAAGGGCAGGACCUCGAGGGGAGUGACUUGGUCACCGAGACACGCUUACGGGGCGCACACAAGUUAACCGAGGAGAGGUUUAUCUCGGCUCGCACUUGGGAGAGGUUUCAGUCCCUAGUCAGCAGCUCAAAGGCAGCGCGGCAUGGCGGAGGGGCCUGGCAGACAGAAAGCAGAGUCCAGGGAGCAGAGGCAGCGAGAUGAAGGCUCCCAGGCCCUGAACCAGGCGAUUUCUCUCAGCCCAGAUCCCACCUCCUGUCAACCCAGGUGUACCACGCCCAUGAGGCAAUCACCUCCCAGAGGCGGCUUGUGAGUGCGUGAGGCUGUGCGGACAGGUAGCUCUAAACUGUCCCCAAGGGAGAGGGAUGGGAGGGCGACUUGGGGGGCAGGAGGAGGGGCACCCAUCCCUGCAGGUCAGCUUCCCAAGCUGGAGCUCUCUCCUCCCGGGACCAGAGCAGGCGGGGCGUGCAGUGACACCGAGCGGCCACCGGAGGGCAGCAGAGCCCUGUGCUGAGAUCACGCGCUGAGGUUGCCAGGGGCCCCAGCUCUGCCAGGAUUGUAUGAGGAUGCCUAGCAUAAAGAGAAUAUGUUCGUAUAUUCGUGCUUAUUUCUACCACCUUAUUCUGUCUUCCUCUCUGUCUUGCUUCCUCUAAGUAGGCUGGAAGCUUUUCGUUAUUUCUUCAGAAGUAAUUCACCUCACUGUUUCUUUUUCAGAGAGAGAGAGAGACAGAGAGAGACAGAGAGAGAGAGAGACAGAGAGACAGAGAGUGUUUAGGUCUUACUCAGUGUCCGAGAUCUGAGAUUGCUGGGAAGCACCACCACACCUGACUUUUCCUUUUGUCUUGCAGUUAGGAGUGAUGUAUCUGGUCUCUGGAUUUUCCGUAGUGACCUUAGAUAUCACACCCUGAACUUUUG